CCUUUCUUCCUUUUGGUGCGAGCUUGCUGUGGUUUUUGCUCUGGGUCCUCUGGGAUGGCGCCUGGCUGUGGCCGCGUGGUCUCUCACGCAGGGGCGCCGGGCGGGGGAACGCGGCCACCCUGAGUCUGGUGAGUCGACUGCGGCGGCCUGUGUCCGAAGUGUCCGGGGCCGUGAACAAGGGCAGCGGCCUGGCCUCAGGCCUGCGUUCCCACGUUUGGAAACGGGGAGCUUCGUCGAUUUGUGUUUACAUCAUCGACUAUGCCAGGGAGUUCUCCAGAUAAGCCUGGUUUUAUUUUCGUCAGUGAAAAGGCCUUACCGUAUAACUGACUUUAUGCUUGCCCUGCCCCCGUAUAAAAUAACUUAAAAGCAGCGUGCCUGGUUACAGCUGUUUCCACGUGCGGUGCUCGUCGGGAGUGAUCACCUACCCUACAGCCAGUUCUAAUUUUUGUUCAGGUGGAAGAUGGAUGCCUGAAGUGUAGACUGCUGCUAGCUGAAUACCAUCUGGGAGCAUAAAGGUGACCUGAAGGAUGUCCUUGGUGAGGAUUUUGAAAAUUUGAUCUUCACAAGAGUUGCCUGGAUCAUUUGAAAUUUCUGGGAGUCUGAGGAGUACUGACAUAAUUACCUGCUGGAGUCUGUAAAUACACAUUUAAGACAGUGAGGAUGUGAAUAAAUAUAUUAAUGCACUU
rnacentral:lncRNA from 1 species